UUUUUUUGUACAUUUGAGAAAAUAUAGCUAAUAUUCUCAAGUUUGUUAUGAUCCUAUCUCUUUUAAUUUGCUAUGUUUUGUUGUAACUAAAGCUAACGGUGAUCGUAAAUAUAAAACUUUUUUCCAGUUACUUGUUCUUUAUCUUAUACAUAAUACAUAAUUUUAUUUCAAUAAGCCAAAAAAACAAAUUAAAAUGUGAAAAACACAUUACUUGAAUCUACUUAAGACACAUAAUAAUGUUUAUAAUACAAGAAAUGUUUCUUGAAUCUCCAUAAGGGCCCAAAUAAUAAUAUUUGAUUAAAGUAAUUAGACCAUGGAUAUUUUACAUUAUAAAGUGAUCAUACACAUUGUUUUUUCAUAUACAUUUGAGAAAAUAUGGCUAUAACUCUCAAGUUUAUGUAUGUUACGAUUUUAUCUCUUUUGCUAUGUCUUGUUGUAACUAAAGCCGGGGAUUACGGUCAAGCAUGCAUAUCCGAUGCGGAAUGUCCAAAUGUUACAACAUACUGUACUCCACCUUACCGUAUGGGGUGCUGGUGGAACUUAUGUUAUUGCGAGCAACAAUUAGAAUGAUAUUUACAUUUUCUUUUUUCUUGCUCACUUCAAUAUCUAUUCCUUUUCCCUUUUAAUCCUUGUGAGACUUAAAAAUAUAUUAUUGUAUUAUGCUAAUGUUGUUAACCUUGUUUGUUUUUAGAAGACGCAUUGAUCUACAACGUAAUAUUGUAAAAUUACAUAAUUUAUUAAUAUUUUUGCAACAAAAAAAAUGUUUCAUUAUUCAAUAUAAAAAUGGCAAAUAAAAUAAAUUUAACUAAAUAAAACUUAUUAAUCUAAAUAUGCAGAGUUUUCUUAUUUCAUUUUCAUAAAUUACUAUUUAAUUAUUAAAAAAUUUAAAAUAAAUUUUUUGACAGACUUACUUGAACUAAUGAAGAGAUAGGAUCAUAAAAAAUAAUUUUCAUAAUCAAUUAUGGUGCCAAACACUUGUGUAAUAAUUUUUUUUUUAAUUUUAUCUAAAUUUUAAUACGUUGUUUCCUUCAUUAAGUUAGUUAAUUUAACACACUUUUCAACAUUUUAAUCAUUUCAUUUUCUUUAUAAAACCUUCCACUUCUAUGUUUGAAACUACUAUUUUACAUUGUUCUUCUUCACUAUUAGUUCUAUUUGAGUGAAACUAAUGCCAACAUAAUUGUGUGAAUACGGCUACAUUAUCCACUAUUUUUCUGAUUUGAGUUGGACCAGAUGGAGGUCGAGAAGUAAAAGGAAUGAAAUUUUGUUUGCUUCUGGAAUCAGGUUAGCGUGUGAAAUCAUUGAAAUAAAGUAAGGGGUUAGAGAGUGUUUGAAUUAAUGAGUAUAUUUUAAAGUGAGAUGAAUGGGAAAGUUGUAUUUCUCACUGAUUCAUUUGGGGCUUGUUGUGCAUGACUACAGUCUUUUGAGCGAUAAAUUAAUCAAUGUAAAAUUUUGGAAAUUGUGAGAUUAUAGUGUGGAAUAGAAAUAGUUAUAAGUCGUUGAUUGAUUUAAUUUUCUAUGAAUGUGUGGUAUUUGAUAUUAUGGUGAUACUGAAUGCUGGAUGAAUUGUGUGCCUA